ACUGCCACUUCUGUGCCUUGUGUGGUUGUUGUUGCUAAUGACAAUCCUCCUCCUCCCAUUCCUUCCAAUUUACCAGCUCCUGCUUCACCCACUAAGCCAUCUCUCUCAAGGGUUCCGAGCUCUCAUGAUAACUGCAGGUAUGUUUGUGCUAUGUUAAUGAUAAAUUCUUAUUCCUUAACAAGCCAAAGCAAUGUUCUUUUCCGAUUUUCUGUCCUUGUAGAGUAUGCCAACAGGACAAAGAAGAAGUGCUGAUAGAUCUUGG
rnacentral:lncRNA from 1 species